rnacentral:lncRNA from 1 species
CUGUUGUACUCUACAGCAUACAGCUUCUGGUUAGAAAGAUAUAGGGUGAAACCAGAUGAGACAGCUGUUGUACUCUACAGCAUACAGCUUCUGGUUAGAAAGAUAUAGGGUGAAACUAGGUGAGACAGCUGUUGUACUCUACAGCAUACAGCUUCUGGUUAGAAAGAUAUAGGGUGAAACUAGGUGAGACAGCUGUUGUACUCUACAGCAGUGGUAUUCAAAGUCCAGGUCUCGAGUGAACUGCAGUUUGAUCGCAGCAAAAAAACAUUAUUUUAGGAACAAAAAAUGAAGAGUACAGAUUAUUGUAUGGGUCAACAUAAAAACGUUUUUUAGAAAGAUAAUUUGAAAAAUAAAAUGUAUUUAUUGUUUUCUUUUAAUUUUGAUAAGAGAUGAACAUGUAAUGAAUUGAAGGUUAUUUGUUGAUGUAAAAAUCGGAAUUUACAGAUUUUAAGGUUAUGUUAUUUGUUUUGGGGUGGGAUGAGGUCGCAAAAAAAUGUUGUGUCAGGAAAAAAUGGGGUCCCAGCUGAACAAGUUUGAAUACCACUGUUCUACAGCAUACAGCCUCUGGUUAGAAAUAUUAUAGGGUGAAAGCAGCACAACCAGUCUCUGCUCUGCUGGACCUGUCUCUCCCUGCUGUAGAGGGCUCAAACCACCUGUAAGUGAGUGCAACACAAUAUCAC